rnacentral:rRNA from 1 species
GGAGCAAGCGUUGUUCGGAUUUACUGGGCGUAAAGGGCGCGUAGGCGGCCUCUGCAAGUCGACUGUGAAAUCUCCGGGCUUAACCCGGAAAGGUCAGCCGAUACUGCAGGGCUAGAGUGCAGAAGGGGCAACUGGAAUUCUCGGUGUAGCGGUGAAAUGCGUAGAUAUCGAGAGGAACACCUGCGGCGAAGGCGGGUUGCUGGGCUGACACUGACGCUGAGGCGCGAAAGCUAGGGGAGCGAACGGG